rnacentral:rRNA from 1 species
UACGUAGGGUGCAAGCGUUAAUCGGAAUUACUGGGCGUAAAGCGUGCGCAGGCGGUUGUGUAAGACAGAUGUGAAAAUCCCCGGGCUCAACCUGGGAACUGCAUUUGUGACUGCACAGCUGGAGUGCGGCAGAGGGGGAUGGAAUUCCGCGUGUAGCAGUGAAAUGCGUAGAUAUGCGGAGGAACACCGAUGGCGAAGGCAAUCCCCUGGGCCUGCACUGACGCUCAUGCACGAAAGCGUGGGGAGCAAACAGG